rnacentral:rRNA from 1 species
CGCUAGUAAUCGCGGAUCAGCAUGCCGCGGUGAAUACGUUCCCGGGCCUUGUACACACCGCCCGUCACACCACGAGAGUUUGUAACACCCGAAGUCGGUGAGGUAACCUUUAUGGAGCCAGCCGCCGAAGGUGGGACAGAUGAUUGGGGUGAAGUCGUAACAAGGUAGCCGUAUCGGAAGGUGCGGCUGGAUCACCUCCUUU